UUCUUCCCCUCUGAUUCAACAAAUUUCUCAAUUUUUCUCAGCUUUCCUGAAAUCCAUGGCAUCUCAGGUUGUUGCAGGCAGAUGCCAUAAACCAUAUCAGUUAUAAGGUGAGAAAAAAGAGUUCUUUGA